ACUGUGGGGACCUCUCCAUUUUGGGGACCUGAUGGACAUUGGGGGCACCAAGGUGGGACCUGGAGAAGGUUUGGGGUCACCAAGGUGGGACCUGAUGGACAUUGGGGUCACCAAGGUGGGACCUUGAGGAUCUGAAGAACAUUGAGGAGAACCAAGGUGGCACCUGCUGGGGAUUGGGGUCACCAAGGUGGAACCUGGAAGUGGUGGGGGCACCAAGGUGGGACCUGCUGGAGAUUUGGUGUCACCAAGGUGGGACCUGGAGAAGGUUUGGGGACACCAAGGUGGGACCUGGAGAAGGUUUGAGAUCACCAAGGUAGAACCUGCUGGAGAUUUGGGGUCACCAAGGUGGGACCUGGAAGUGGUGGGGACACCAAGGUGGCACCUGCUGGAACUUGGAGGACCCCAAGGUGGGACCUGGAGGAGAUCUGGGGUCACCAAAGUGGGACCUGGAAAUGGUGGGGGCACCAAGGGGGUCAUAGUGGAAGUUGGAGGUCACCAAGGUGGGACCUGGUGGAUCUGAAGAAGAUUGAGGGGCACCAAGGUGGGGCCUGCUGGAGAGUGUCCAAGGUUGAACCUGGAGGAGAUCUGGGGUCACCAAGGUGGGACCUGGUGGAGACUGGGGGGUCCAUCAUGGUGGGACCUGGAGGACCUGGAGGAGAUAUGGGGUCACCAAAGUGGGACCUGGAGAAGGUUUGGGGUCACCAAGGUGGGAAAUGGGAGUGAUGGGGGCACCAAGGUAGGACCUGAUGGACAUUGGGGAUCACCAAGGUGGGACCUGGUGGAGAUUUGGUGUCACCAAGGUGGGACCUGGAAGUGGUGGGGUCACCAGGGUGGGACCUGGAGAAGGUUUGGAGUCACCAAGGUGGGACCUGGAGGAUCUGAAGAAGAUUGAGGGGCACCAAGGUGGGGCCUGCUGGAGGUUGGAGAUGACCAAAGUGGAACCUGGAGAUCUGGGGUCACCAAGGUGGGACCUGGAGUUUGUGGGGGCACCAAGAAGGUCCUCCUGGAACUUGGGGGUCACCAAGGUGAGACCUUGAGAAGUUUUGGUGUCACCAAGGUGGGACCUGGAAGUGGUGAGGUCACCAAGGCGGGACCUGAUGGAGAUCUGAGGUCACCAAGGUGGGACCUGGAGAAGGUUUGGGGUCACCAAGGUGGGACCUGGAGAAGGUUUGGGGUCACCAAGGUGGGACCUGGUGGAGAUUUGGUGUCACCAAGGUGGGACCUGGAGAACCUGGAGAACAUUGAGGGGCACCAAGGUGGGACCUGAUGGACAUUGGAGUCACCAAGGUGGGACCUUGAGGAUCUGAAGAACAUUGAGGGGCACCAAGGUGGCACCUGCUGGGGAUUGGGGGGCACCAAGGUGGGACCUGCUGGAAAUUGGGGUCACCAAGGUGGGAUCUGAUGGACAUUGGGGUCACCAAGGUGAGACCUGAAGGAUCUGAAGAAGAUUGAGGGUCACCAAGGUGGGACCUGCUGGGGAUUGGGGUCACCAAGGUGGGACCUGGAGAAGGUUUGGGGUCACCAAGGUGGAACCAGGAGAUAGGGAUCCUGGAAGUGGUGAGGUCACCAAGGUGGGACCUGCUGGAGAUUGGUGUCACCAAGGUGGGACCUGAUGGACAUUGGGGUCACCAAGGUGGAACCUUGAGGAGCUGAAGAACAUUGAGGAGAACCAAGGUGGCACCUGCUGGGGAUUGGGGUCACCAAGGUGGGACCUGGAGAAGGUUUGGGGUCACCAAGGUGGGACCUGAUGGACAUUGGGGUCACCAAGGUGGGACCUGGAGAAGGUUUGCGGUCACCAAGGUGGGAAAUGGGAGUGGUGGGGGCACCAAGGUGGGACCUGGAAGAUCUGAAGAAGAUUGAAGGGCACCAAGGUGGCACCUGCUGGAAGUUGGAGGUCACCAAGGUGGGACCUGGUGGGACUUGGGAGACACCAAAGUGGGACCUGCUGGAGGUUUGGGGACACCAAAGGUGGGACCUGGAAGUGGUGGGGACACCAAGGUGGCACCUGCUGGAACUUGGAGGACCCCAAGGUGGGACCUGGUGGAGAUCUGGGGUCACCAAGGUGGGACCUGAAGAAGGUUUGGGGUCACCAAGGUGGGACCUGGAGAAGGUUUGGGGUCACCAAGGUGGGACCUGGUGGAGAUUGGGGUCACCAAGGUGGGAC